AUUGAACGCUGGCGGCAUGCCUUACACAUGCAAGUCGAACGGCAGCGGGCCUUCGGGUGCCGGCGAGUGGCGAACGGGUGAGUAAUGCAUCGGAACGUGCCAUUGAGUGGGGGGAUAACGUAGCGAAAGUUACGCUAAUACCGCAUAUUCUGUGAGCAGGAAAGCAGGGGACCGCAAGGCCUUGCGCUCUUUGAGCGGCCGAUGUCAGAUUAGCUAGUUGGUGAGGUAAAAGGCUUACCAAGGCGACGAUCUGUAGCGGGUCUGAGAGGAUGAUCCGCCACACUGGAACUGAGACACGGUCCAGACUCCUACGGGAGGCAGCAGUGGGGGAAUUUUGGACAAUGGGCGCAAGCCUGAUCCAGCCAUGCCGCGUGAGUGAAGAAGGCCU
rnacentral:rRNA from 1 species